UGGCAUGGAGUCACACCUGGUAGCCUGGAGCCGGAAGAGCUGUGUCUGGAGACCUCGCACUACCCCCUCAGGGUCAUUUGAAGUACCGCCUACCUCUUAGUGACAGGAGCCAAGCCUGGGACAUGCUGUGACUAGCCCUGGGUCACAGGGUCAUUUACAGGGAGAACAGCACUUGCCAGACUGUUUUCCCGUUCCUGUUCAAGUUCCUGCCUUGGUGAUGCACUGUGACACGGAAAGCUCCUCAGAUGACUGCCUGGCAGCAGAGGGUGAAAUGACCUCAUUCAUCAGAAGGAAGGCACAGAAAGAAGUUCUGAGACAAAA